rnacentral:rRNA from 1 species
CAGUAGCCGCGGUAAUACCGAGGGUGCGAGCGUUAAUCGGAUUUACUGGGCGUAAAGCGUGCGUAGGCGGCUUUUUAAGUCGGAUGUGAAAUCCCUGAGCUUAACUUAGGAAUUGCAUUCGAUACUGGGAAGCUAGAGUAUGGGAGAGGAUGGUAGAAUUCCAGGUGUAGCGGUGAAAUGCGUAGAGAUCUGGAGGAAUACCGAUGGCGAAGGCAGCCAUCUGGCCUAAUACUGACGCUGAGGUACGAAAGCAUGGGGAGCAAACAGGAUUAGAUACCCCAGUAGUCCCUGUCUCUUAUAC